GGACCGUGUACAAGUUUCCUGGAAUGGAACGUCAUAGAGGGUGAGAAUCCCGUCUUUGACACGGACUACCAAGGCUUUGUGGUGCGCUCUCGAAGAGUCGUGUUGUUUGGGAAUGCAGCACUAAAUGGGUGGUAAAUUCCAUCUAAAGCUAAAUAUUGGGGAGAGACCGAUAGCGAACAAGUACCGUGAGGGAAAGAUGAAAAGAACUUUGGAAAGAGAGUUAAACAGUACGUGAAAUUGCUGAAAGGGAAACGCUUGAAGUCAGUCGCGUUGGCCGGGGAUCAGCCUUCCUUUUGGUUGGUGUACUUCCUGGUCGAUGGGUCAGCAUCAGUUUUGACCGGUGGAUAAGAGCUUGAGGAAUGUGGCAUCUUCGGGUGUGUUAUAGCCUCUUGUUGUAUACAUCGGUUGGGACUGAGGAACUCAGCACGCCGCAAGGCCGGGUUUUUAACCACGUUCGUGCUUAGGAUGCUGGCAUAAUGGCUUUAAUCGACCCGUCUUGAAACACGGACCAAGGAGUCUAACAUGCCUGCGAGUGUUUGGGUGGAAAACCCGAGCGCGUAAUGAAAGUGAAAGUUAGGAUCUCUGUCGUGGAGAGCACUGACGCCCGGUCCAGACCUUCUGUGACGGUACCGCGGUUGAGCAUGUAUGUUGGGACCCGAAAGAUGGUGAACUAUGCCUGAAUAGGGUGAAGCCAGAGGAAACUCUGGUGGAGGCUCGUAGCG
rnacentral:rRNA from 1 species